rnacentral:rRNA from 1 species
AGUCGAACGGCAGCAUGAUCUAGCUUGCUAGAUUGAUGGCGAGUGGCGAACGGGUGAGUAAUACAUCGGAACGUGCCCUGUAGUGGGGGAUAACUAGUCGAAAGAUUAGCUAAUACCGCAUACGACCUGAGGGUGAAAGUGGGGGACCGCAAGGCCUCAUGCUAUAGGAGCGGCCGAUGUCUGAUUAGCUAGUUGGUGGGGUAAAGGCCCACCAAGGCGACGAUCAGUAGCUGGUCUGAGAGGACGAUCAGCCACACUGGGACUGAGACACGGCCCAGACUCCUACGGGAGGCAGCAGUGGGGAAUUUUGGACAAUGGGCGAAAGCCUGAUCCAGCAAUGCCGCGUGUGUGAAGAAGGCCUUCGGGUUGUAAAGCACUUUUGUCCGGAAAGAAAUGGCUCUGGUUAAUACCUGGGGUCGAUGACGGUACCGGAAGAAUAAGGACCGGCUAACUACGUGCCAGCAGCCGCGGUAAUACGUAGGGUCCAAGCGUUAAUCGGAAUUACUGGGCGUAAAGCGUGCGCAGGCGGUUGUGCAAGACCGAUGUGAAAUCCCCGAGCUUAACUUGGGAAUUGCAUUGGUGACUGCACGGCUAGAGUGUGUCAGAGGGGGGUAGAAUUCCACGUGUAGCAGUGAAAUGCGUAGAGAUGUGGAGGAAUACCGAUGGCGAAGGCAGCCCCCUGGGAUAACACUGACGCUCAUGCACGAAAGCGUGGGGAGCAAACAGGAUUAGAUACCCUGGUAGUCCACGCCCUAAACGAUGUCAACUAGUUGUUGGGGAUUCAUUUCCUUAGUAACGUAGCUAACGCGUGAAGUUGACCGCCUGGGGAGUACGGUCGCAAGAUUAAAACUCAAAGGAAUUGACGGGGACCCGCACAAGCGGUGGAUGAUGUGGAUUAAUUCGAUGCAACGCGAAAAACCUUACCUACCCUUGACAUGCCACUAACGAAGCAGAGAUGCAUUAGGUGCUCGAAAGAGAAAGUGGACACAGGUGCUGCAUGGCUGUCGUCAGCUCGUGUCGUGAGAUGUUGGGUUAAGUCCCGCAACGAGCGCAACCCUUGUCUCUAGUUGCUACGAAAGGGCACUCUAGAGAGACUGCCGGUGACAAACCGGAGGAAGGUGGGGAUGACGUCAAGUCCUCAUGGCCCUUAUGGGUAGGGCUUCACACGUCAUACAAUGGUGCAUACAGAGGGUUGCCAAGCCGCGAGGUGGAGCUAAUCCCAGAAAAUGCAUCGUAGUCCGGAUCGUAGUCUGCAACUCGACUACGUGAAGCUGGAAUCGCUAGUAAUCGCGGAUCAGCAUGCCGCGGUGA